CAACUGCAUUGAGAUCAUUAACAAGAUCCAUCCGUAUAGUUCUGGGCUGAUUCCUCGCUGUUCUCAUGAUCAUUGAAACUCCAUGAGGUGAGAUCUUGCAUGGAGCACCAGACCGAGGGAGACUGAACGUUACUUUGUUUCUUCCAUUUGCGAAUAAUCGCACCAACUGUUGUCACCGUCUCACCAAGCUGCUUGGCAAUGGUCUUGUAGCCCAUUCCAGGUCUACAAUCUUGUCCCUGACAUGCUUGGACAGCUCUUUUGUCUUGGCCAUGGUGGAGAGUUUAGAAUCUGAUUGAUUGCUUCUG